rnacentral:rRNA from 1 species
CUAGCGGCGGACGGGUGAGUAACGCGUGGGCAACCUACCCUAAAGUCUGGGAUAACAGCGGGAAACUGCUGCUAAUACCGGAUAGCUUUAACCGGGGGCAUCUUCGGUUAAAGAAAGAAGCGAUUCGCUUUAGGAUGGGCCCGCGUCCCAUUAGCUGGUUGGUGAGGUAACGGCUCACCAAGGCGACGAUGGGUAGCCGGCCUGAGAGGGUGAACGGCCACACUGGAACUGAGACACGGUCCAGACUCCUACGGGAGGCAGCAGUGGGGAAUAUUGCACAAUGGGCGCAAGCCUGAUGCAGCAACGCCGCGUGGAGGAUGAAGGCCUUCGGGUUGUAAACUCCUUUUAGUAGGGAAGAAGCGAAAGUGACGGUACCUACAGAAAAAGCGUCGGCUAACUACGUGCCAGCAGCCGCGGUAAUACGUA